UGACAAAAUUGCUCUAAUUCUUAGUCGCUUUCUGCCAAACGGAAACUUGCUAUUCAUGAACCAUCGCGUGGUCAGGCAGUUGGAAAAAGAAGUGGAAAACUUGAUGAAACUGUGAUAAUAAAAUCCGCUCAUUUAAUUAAAUGUAAAAAUGACAUUCUUCUUAAGCAUACUUAAUCAUGAAAUUAUUACAGUCUGAAUGUAUUUUUUCAAAUUCUCUUUACUGACAAAACCACAAAAACCAUCACCUUACCUGAAAUAUGUUUCUUCCGCUAAAGAAUUGUUCUGCACUUGGGUGUGACUCUUCAUCAUUGGGUUCUCCAGUUCGUAAUAAAGUAUUGGAUUUUUCAUAUGCUAAUAAAAGAUGAUAAAG
rnacentral:misc_RNA from 1 species